rnacentral:rRNA from 1 species
CAGUCGCCGCGGGAAUACGUAGGGUGCGAGCGUUAAUCGGAAUUACUGGGCGUAAAGCGUGCGCAGGCGGUUGUGUAAGACAGGUGUGAAAUCCCCGGGCUUAACCUGGGAACUGCGCUUGUGACUGCACAGCUAGAGUAUGGCAGAGGGGGGUGGAAUUCCACGUGUAGCAGUGAAAUGCGUAGAGAUGUGGAGGAACACCGAUGGCGAAGGCAGCCCCCUGGGCCAAUACUGACGCUCAUGCACGAAAGCGUGGGGAGCAAACAGGAUUAGAUACCCGGGUAGUCCCUGUCUCUUAUAC